UGAACGCUGGCGGCGUGCCUAACACAUGCAAGUCGACCGGAGAUUACGGACGGAAGUUUUCGGAUGGAAGCCUGUAAUUCUUAGUGGCGGACGGGUGAGUAACGCGUGGGCAACCUGCCCUAUACAGGGGGAUAGCAGCUGGAAACGGCUGGUAAGACCGCAUAAGUCGGUUAAAUCGCAUGAUUUGAUCGGGAAAUGAGCAAUCAGGUAUAGGAUGGGCCCGCGUCCGAUUAGCCAGUUGGCAGGGUAAAAGCCUACCAAAGCGACGAUCGGUAGCCGGACUGAGAGGUCGGACGGCCACAUUGGGACUGAGACACGGCCCAAACUCCUACGGGAGGCAGCAGUGGGGGAUAUUGCACAAUGGAGGAAACUCUGAUGCAGCGACGCCGCGUGAGUGAAGAAGUAUUUCGGUAUGUAAAGCUCUAUCAGCAGGGAAGAUGAUGACGGUACCUGACGAAGAAGCCCCGGCUAACUACGUG
rnacentral:rRNA from 1 species